GAUCAUGGCUCAGAUUGAACGCUGGCGGCAUGCCUUACACAUGCAAGUCGAACGGCAGCACGGGAGCUUGCUCCUGGUGGCGAGUGGCGAACGGGUGAGUAAUACAUCGGAACGUACCCUGAAUGGGGGAUAACGUAGCGAAAGUUACGCUAAUACCGCAUAUUCUGUGAGCAGGAAAGAGGGGGAUCGCAAGACCUCUUGCUUUAGGAGCGGCCGAUGUCGGAUUAGCUAGUUGGUGAGGUAAAGGCUCACCAAGGGCGACCGAUCCGUAGCGGGUCUGAGAGGAUGAUCCGCCACACUGGGACUGAGACACGGCCCAGACUCCUACGGGAGGCAGCAGUGGGGAAUUUGGACAAUGGGCGCAAGCCUGAUCCAGCCAUGCCGCGUGAGUGAAGAAGGCCUUCGGGUUGUAAAGCUCUUUCGGUGGGGAAGAAAUUGCUUCGGUUAAUACCUGGAGUAGAUGACGGUACCCGCAUAAGAAGCACCGGCUAACUACGUG
rnacentral:rRNA from 1 species